rnacentral:rRNA from 1 species
AACGAACGCUGGCGGCAUGCCUAACACAUGCAAGUCGAACGAGACCUUCGGGUCUAGUGGCGCACGGGUGCGUAACGCGUGGGAACCUGCCCUUAGGUUCGGAAUAACUCCCCGAAAGGGGUGCUAAUACCGGAUAAUGUCUUCGGACCAAAGAUUUAUCGCCUUUGGAUGGGCCCGCGUUGGAUUAGCUAGUUGGUAGGGUAAAAGCCUACCAAGGCGACGAUCCAUAGCUGGUCUGAGAGGAUGAUCAGCCACACUGGGACUGAGACACGGCCCAGACUCCUCGGGGGGGGAGCAUGGGGGAAUAUGGGACAAGGGGCGAAAGCCGGAUCCCGCAAUGCCGGGUGAGUGAUGAAGGCCUUAGGGUUGUAAAGCUCUUUUCCCCGGGAUGAUAAUGACAGUACCGGGAAAAUAAGCCCCGGCUAACCCCGU